UGGGGAAUAUUGCGCAAUGGAGGAAACUCUGACGCAGCAACGCCGCGUGAGUGAAGAAGGUUUUCGGAUCGUAAAGCUCUGUCUUUGGGGAAGAAAAAAAUGACGGUACCCAAGGAGGAAGCCCCGGCUAACUACGUGCCAGCAGCCGCGGUAAUACGUAGGGGGCAAGCGUUGUCCGGAAUCACUGGGCGUAAAGAGCACGUAGGCGGUAUAUUAAGUUAGGUGUGAAAGUUUGCAGCUCAACUGUAAAAGUGCAUUUAAAACUGGUAUACUUGAGUAUCGGAGAGGUAAGCGGAAUUCCUAGUGUAGCGGUGAAAUGCGUAGAGAUUAGGAAGAACACCGGUGGCGAAGGCGGCUUACUGGACGAUCACUGACGCUCAGGUGCGAAAGCGUGGGGAGCAAACAGG
rnacentral:rRNA from 1 species